ensembl:rRNA 5S_rRNA 5S ribosomal RNA
GUCUACGGCCAUACUACCCUGAACGUGCCAGAUCUCUUCAGAAGCCUCUGCAGACACAGGCAGGUAGGUGCAUGCUCAGUUGCGUGUCCAACUCUUUGUGACCGCAUGGACUGUAGCCC